UACGGAGGGUGCGAGCGUUAAUCGGAAUUACUGGGCGUAAAGCGUGCGCAGGCGGUUCGUUGUGUCGGCGGGGAAAGCCCCGGGCUCAACCUGGGAAUGGCCGUUGAAACUGGCGAACUGGAGUGUGGCAGAGGGGGGUGGAAUUCCGCGUGUAGCAGUGAAAUGCGUAGAGAUGCGGAGGAACACCGAUGGCGAAGGCAGCCCCCUGGGCUAACACUGACGCUCAGGCACGAAAGCGUGGGGAGCAAACAGG
rnacentral:rRNA from 1 species